rnacentral:rRNA from 1 species
AGGCCUAACACAUGCAAGUCGAGCGGUAACACAAGGGAGCUUGCUCCUGAGGUGACGAGCGGCGGACGGGUGAGUAAUGCCUAGAUAUCUGCCUAGUCGUGGGGGAUAACAGUUGGAAACGACUGCUAAUACCGCAUACGCCCUAUGGGGGAAAGGAGGGGACCUUCGGGCCUUCCGCGAUUAGAUGAGUCUAGGUGGGAUUAGCUUGUUGGUGAGGUAAGAGCUCACCAAGGCGACGAUCCCUAGCUGGUCUGAGAGGAUGAUCAGCCACACUGAGACUGAGACACGGCCCAGACUCCUACGGGAGGCAGCAGUGGGGAAUAUUGCACAAUGGGCGAAAGCCUGAUGCAGCCAUGCCGCGUGUGUGAAGAAGGCCUUCGGGUUGUAAAGCACUUUCAGCGAGGAGGAAAGGUUGAUGAUUAAUACCCCUUAUGUGUGACGUUAGCAACAGAAGAAGGACCGGCUAACUCCGUGCCAGCAGCCGCGGUAAUACGGAGGGUCCGAGCGUUAAUCGGAAUUACUGGGCGUAAAGCGCACGCAGGCGGUUUGUUAAGCUAGAUGUGAAAGCCCCGGGCUCAACCUGGGAAUAGCAUUUAGAACUGGCAGGCUAGAGUCUUGGAGAGGGGAGUGGAAUUUCUGGUGUAGCGGUGAAAUGCGUAGAUAUCAGAAGGAACAUCAGUGGCGAAGGCGACUAACUGGACAGGUACUGACACUGAGGCACGAAAGCGUGGGGAGCAAACAGGAUUAGAUACCCUGGUAGUCCACGCCGUAAACGAUGUCAACUAGCCGUCCGUAGACUUGAUCUGUGGGUGGCGCAGCUAACGCAUUAAGUUGACCGCCUGGGGAGUACGGCCGCAAGGUUAAAACUCAAAUGAAUUGACGGGGGCCCGCACAAGCGGUGGAGCAUGUGGUUUAAUUCGAUGCAACGCGAAGAACCUUACCAUCCCUUGACAUCCACAGAACAAUUUAGAGAUAGAUUGGUGCCUUCGGGAACUGUGAGACAGGUGCUGCAUGGCUGUCGUCAGCUCGUGUUGUGAAAUGUUGGGUUAAGUCCCGCAACGAGCGCAACCCCUAUCCUUAGUUGCCAGCGCGUCAUGGCGGGAACUUUAAGGAGACUGCCGGUGAUAAACCGGAGGAAGGUGGGGACGACGUCAAGUCAUCAUGGCCCUUACGGGAUGGGCUACACACGUGCUACAAUGGCAAGUACAGAGGGCAGCAAGACCGCGAGGUGGAGCGAAUCCCAGAAAGCUUGUCGUACUCCGGAUCGGAGUCUGCAACUCGACUCCGUGAAGUCGGAAUCGCUAGUAAUCGUGGAUCAGAAUGCCACGGUGAAUACGUUCCCGGGCCUUGUACACACCGCCCGUCACACCAUGGGAGUGGGUUGCAAAAGAAGUAGCUAGUUUAACCUUCGGGGG